CCAAAGCCUGAAGGAGGGGAUAUCAAAUAAACUAUGAUGUGAUGAAACAAGAAAAAAAAUUCUACCGAAUACCACCAAGGAUCCCAAUAUCCUCUAUGCUGUCCACUCUACGCCAUGGUGAACCAGCAGCUCUGAGGAAGCAGCCAGUGGACAUAUGCAUCAGUUCCUGAUCAACAAGCCAACCAGCACCCUGGCAGCUCUGCAUCAAUCACAACAUUUGCUGCCUCCCAAAUUGCUGAGCCGAAGACAACAAUGCCAAAACCAAUGAAAGGAUAAAUAAGAAGCUACUAUGGGGAGAGGAUGUUGGUGUCAAUAAAAGGAAAUUACUGAAAGCCUAUCAAAACUAUCUGAUGAAUUACCAUCCAUCAACUACUAGCUUGAUAUGGGAAAAGGGUGCCACCUGGUGCCCAAUCCAUCUUCCUUAAGUUAGUCACUUAACCUGCUCUUCUGGCUUUUCUGUCCAUUCUUCU